rnacentral:rRNA from 1 species
GAUGAACGCUGGCGGCGUGCCUAAUACAUGCAAGUCGAGCGAACAAAUGAGGAGUUCGCUUCUCUUACGCUGGCGGCGGGCGGGUGAGGAAUACGAGGAUAACCGGUAGAUGAGACUGGGGUAAGUUCGGGGGAGCGAAGCUCGUAUCGGUCAAGAGAUUGAAACGCAUGGUUCUUCAGAGAUAGAGCGUUCAGAUGAGACUAAUUGGUGGAACCAAGUCGGAUUAGCUAAUUGGUAAGGUAACGGCCUACCAAGGCAACGAUGCGUAGCCGAUCUGAGAGGGUGAUCGGUCACACUGGAACUGAGACACGGUCCAGACUCCUACGGGAGGCAGCAGUAGGGAAUCUUCCGCAAUGGGCGAAAGCCUGACGGAGCCACGCCGCGUGAGUGAUGAAGGUCUUCGGAUCGUAAAACUCUUUUAGUAGGGAAGAACAAAAGUAUGAGUAUCUCUGCCCGUCUUGACGUUACCUACACAGAAAGCACCGGCUAACUACGUG